CUACGGUGGGCGGGCCGUGGUGUUCGGGAAGUCGAUGGAAGGUCGACGCGGCCCUCGCCACUGUGAUCGGGGAGUUCCCGUUCCGUCCGGCACCGCCGGGCCACUGGUCGCAGACCGGGAAGGCAGGGACGGCGGACGUACGACCCGUAAGCCAGGAGACCGGCCACGGCAGCUCACGAAGU
rnacentral:ncRNA from 2 species